rnacentral:snRNA from 1 species
AUACUUACCUGGCAGGGGAGAUACCAUGAUCACGAAGGUGGUUUUCCCAGUGCUGAGCUUAUUCAUUGCACUCCAGAUGUGCUGACCCCUGCGAUUUCCCCAAAUGUGGCAAACUCGACUGCAUAAUUUGUGAUAGUGGGGGACUGUGUUCAUGCUUUCCCCUG